UGUGGUGCCCAUAUUAUUAGUGGAUAUACCUGUCCCCAUCUCGAACACAGAAGUCAAGCACUAAUAAGCCGAACGUAGCCAAAAGCAAGAAUAGGUAGCGCCAACU
rnacentral:rRNA from 1 species